AUAGCCGCAGUAUUUUGACUGUGGUAAGGUAGCAUAAUAAUUUGUCUCUUAAUUGGAGGCUGGAAUGRAUGAGNAAACAAUAUUUUAUCUUUUAAAAUUUAAAUUAAAAUGAAUUUAAUUUUUUGAUCAAAAAGUCAAAAUCACUUAGAGGGACGAAAAGACCCUAUAAAACUUCACUAAAUAACUUUUAAAGUCAUCCAGAAUUUUCUUUAAAAACGAGUAGUUUAACUGGGGCGGUAAACAAAUAACAUUGUGAAAACAAACAUUAAAUUAAUGAAAAAAUGAAAGAUCUUAAAUUAAAAAUUUAAAUCAAGUUACUUUAGGGAUAACAGCAUAAUUCCUUUUUAUAGGUCUUAUAGAAAAAGGAGAUUUAYSRCCUNGWUKWUSAANWRASAURWAWAAMKUGAGUAKWWACAAUUUUCUAGGGUCUGUUCGACCUUUAUUUUCUCA
rnacentral:rRNA from 1 species